GAGAUGCAGCUCUUGGGAAACAGUAAACUAAUUUAUCAGAGAGCAAAUAACAUUCACUGGGGGAGAGAAGUAUGGAGAGCAAUAAUGCUGAAAGAAAGCUAGGAGGAAGUCAGUGAUGCAUUUGCAUUCUGACGGAAGAGAAAAGGCUGCUGCAAUUUCAUGGCACUGUCCAUGCAGAGCAGGGAGCACAAAGUGCAAGAUUGCCUUUGUACAGCUAUGGAGAAGGGAAAACGGAAAUGCUGAUCCUGACGUCCACACGCAGUAGUGCUGUUGCAGUGACUGCAAGGAAAAACCUGCUAAUUGCUCCUACCUUGUGAAGGUUCAAGAUGCAUGAAGAGGUAACCCUCCUGAGCCUCCUCCUGGGCUUCCUUCUUGGCAAGAAGAUCUCGUGCCUCCUAGGAAAGCACGCACAGGAAAUCGGGGGAGAAUGGAUUUGAAGCUUGUGGUUGAGUCACAUCAGUUAUCCUGACGUGGACUUCAGAUCUGAAAAGAUGAAAACGCCAUUCAUAUUUUGAUCACCGUGCCAAAGGUUACAUUGGAUAACUGGACAAAAUGUGCUGUAGAAACCUCUGCAAGUGAACUGCUCUGCUCGUCACCUCACGCAGGACUGGUUAGUGCCCCGGUGUUCAGCAUUGCUAUUCCACUGCCAUAACUUCUCUUUUUCACAAGAAACGCAUUCAGGGUUUUAUCACAGUGUCAUCCCAAAUGAUUUGUGCAAUCAGUAACAUAACCUCCAGUUUCAAAGAUUCAGAGACUCUGUAUUAAUUACGUACACGCAGUACAUGGCGGUUUAAACAUUCCUGGAAAACAAAUCUUAAAUCAGACUUGUUUGUAUAGCCCCUGGAGAUCUCGGCCUCCUCCACAAUAAAUGAGUAGGGCUAGAGACAUCUACAAGGUUCGGCUUUUGCCAAACCAGUGCAUGGGAGAAGCUUGUGACUGCUGCACUGCACUAAAUUUGGAAGCCACGAGCUUUGUGACAUAAAUAUUUUGAAAAAAGAACAACUAACCCAAUGUAAAAUAACAUAACUUUGGUCAGGGCCAGGGAACUAAUAGAGGGAAAUGUGCAAUAUAAAAUCCAAUAGUGCCAUGAUGUGCUUAUAAACAGAACUAGUCUGCAAUAAAAUACACGACCCAAACACCAAACACAUACUUCUUAACAUGUAAACAGGGACAGGAAACAAAAUUAGGAGUCACGAUUUCCAGUUUGAGGGGAGAUGACUUAUCUAGCUAACGUAAAGAAAGCCUUGCCUUUACUCUGGUUGGAACGGUGCCACUUAUGACUUCAUUUAAAAAUAAAUCUAGACUAUUGUUCAUAUGUUUCUGAAUCACUGCCCUGCUUGACGAACAAUAGACGUUUCUGUUUGGGUUUAAAAGUGCUGUGGGGAGGAAAUGUAGGAAUUCGUUUAAAAGAGCAUGCUUUGUUCCAGCUGUGCGGCUGCUGUGCAUUUGGAAAAAGUGAUGGCAGAGUGGAAAUGUGGGUGCCCACCUCCUGCCGCUGAGCCUUGAGUGGUCAGAGAAAAUUGUGUGGGAUGGGUUAUCACAGCGAAGAUCGCACUGGUUUUCACACUCUCAGUUCAAAGCAUUGAAGUACCAAGAAAGAACCCCUCCUUUCUGUUCUCAGGAAGUGCGAGUUAUUUUUGCGUGUGCUUCUUUUCAUAGCGUUUAUUCCAGAAAUUUAAGAGUUAACCACUUCCAUCUGAAUUAUGGGGAAUGUAGGAAAUCUGCCAUCCCCACCCUCUGGCUGCAGCUGAAUACCAGAGCAGAGAUUACAGGAGACUUCUAGCCAAAGCUGAUCUAGCCCCUCUGUGGCUUAGCCAGAGGGUGGGCAGCUCCUCUGUGCCACGCCAUUUGCAGCCAAGUAAGUGUGAAGACACCAAGUCAUUCACUUGGGGAAAGGGACUCUUGGCUGCUUCAUCACCCCAGAGCUACCACCCAUGGUGUGGUACCAGUGGCUGGGCUGGGGGCGUAGAAAAAUCCUAAAGACCACCCAUUUUUCCCUUCCUCCUCCACAUCUGUACUGGGGAGUCCACAGCGUGAUUUCCCCAUUAAUAAAGGGCACAGUCAAAAUCAAACUCACAGUUUCUGAUUUCUUGAUUCUAUACUGCACGCUAACAUAGGGGACAAUGAUAAUUAACCCUGCCUUCUAAAUGUUAAUUACAAAGGCACAGGCAUAAUAUCAAAAAGUUCAUUUCCAGUGAACUCUAAUUAACCUGAAAGCCUAGUCUUG
ensembl:lncRNA